rnacentral:rRNA from 1 species
CCUACGGGGGGCUGCAGUGGGGGAUAUUGCACAAUGGGGGGAACCCUGAUGCAGCGACGCCGCGUGAGCGAUGAAGUAUUUCGGUAUGUAAAGCUCUAUCAGCAGGGAAGAAAAUGACGUUACCUGACUAACAAGCCACGGCUAACUACGGGCCAGCAGCCGCGGUAAUACGUAGGGGGCAAGCGUUAUCCGGAUUUACUGGGUGUAAAGGGAGCGUAGACGGCUGUGCAAGUCUGGAGUGAAAGGCAAGGGCUCAACCUUUGGACUGCUUUGGAAACUGUGCAGCUAGAGUGUGGGAGAGGCAAGUGGAAUUCGUGGUGUAGCGGUGAAAUGCGUAGAUAUUAGGAGGAACACCAGUGGCGAAGGCGGCUUGCUGGACGAUGACUGACGUUGAGGCUCGAAAGCGUGGGGAGCAAACAGGAUUAGAUACCCCAGUAGUC